rnacentral:lncRNA from 1 species
CAGAUAAGACGUCUAUAGAAGGCUCUGCCACCUCACACACAGAGACAGACGGACACACGGACAGACUCUUAGCUUGGACUCCUUAUAUUGGCUGAGGCAUAGGGUGGUUCUCCAUAUGCGUACUACCGUGCUCCAAACACGCAAAUUGGAGCAGCGGAGGGUCGGAGUAUGUGAAACGGAGCGCGGAGGCCACUUCACUAAUGCGUACUCCGUUUAGAGUAACAUGCAUCGAUGCUUCAACAGGAAGUAUGAACAGAAAUAUAACGCUACCAUGUCAAAAAAUACGUACACACACACACCAGAUGGACAAACACACACACACCAGAUGGACACACACACCACAUGGCUAGAUGGACUGGACAGUGGAGUGGCAGGGCCGAUCAUAGAGAAUGAUGGCUGUGGUGACAUCAAUCUACUAAUAUAACAAACAACGUGGCUGUGUGUGUAGAGAGGAUAAAGAGAAUAGAGAAUAUAUAGAGUUAGAGAGGAUAGAAAGGUUAGAGAGGAUAGAGAGGAUAUAGAGUUAGAGAGGAUAUAGAGUUAGAGAGGAUAGAGAGGAUAAAGAGAAUAGAGAAUAUAUAGAGUUAGAGAGGAUAUAGAGUUAGAGAGGAUAGAGAGGAUAAAGAGAAUAGAGAAUAUAUAGAGUUAGAGAGGAUAGAAAGGUUAGAGAGGAUAGAGAGGAUAUAGAGAUAGAGAGGAUAUAGAGUUAGAGAGGAUAUAGAUUAGGAGAGGAUAUAGAGGAUAUAGAGUUAGAGAGGAUAUAGAGGAUAUAGAGGAUAUAGAGUUAGAGAGGAUAUAGAGUUAGAGAGGAUAGAAAGGUUAGAGAGGAUAUAGAGGAUAUAGAGGAUAUUGUCACUUCCUGACCAGUAUAAGGAGUUAUUGGUUAUUGUAGUUUGGUCAAGAUGUGGCAGGGGGUAUUUGUUUUAUGUGGUUCGGGGUUUAAUGGGAUAUGUAUUUAUGUAAGAGGGGUGUUUGAUUUAUGUGUUCCGGGGUUUUUGGGUAAUGUUCUUGUUUUGUAUUUCUAUGGUUUUCUAUGUUGUGUAUUUCUUUGUUUGGCCUGUAUGGCUCUCAAUCGGGAACAGCUGUACAUCAUUGUUGCUGAUUGAGAGUCAUACUAAGGUAGCCCUGUUUUCACCUGUCCCUUUGUGGGAAGUUGUUGUUGUACUGCUGUGUGUUAGCCUGCAACACUGUUCGUUCG